GCCCGGCCCUGACGCGGGCGAGUUUCAUCAUGCGGCGCCCGGCCCUGAUGCGGGCAGGCCUAGACCGGCUCCUUGUUGCAGCCCCAAGUCGAGGGCUGCCCCUCAGGGCCCGCAGUUUGGAGUGCGCCAGCUGUGUUACUUUGUUUGGAAAAGAGUGUUUACAAGGCUGAUACCUUCAGGAGUGUUUACCGAGGAGCUUGCCUUGGGAAACUUACAGAUGCUCUAGAAAAGAUCUCUGGAAGAGCCCGCUUAGCCUUAAGUUUUUUUUUUUCAUUUAUAGCUAUUUUUUCUGCUUCCCCCUCCCCCCCCCCCCCCCCCCCCCCCCCCCCCAGGAAUUCUGAAUGCUGUACAGAGCACAAAUAUACGACAUCGAUGCUUGAAUCUGGCAGCCAUCCAGGGAACAUUUUGCUUUUGCCAGGAACAGAAUAAUAACUGCCAAGAGCUACUUCUAAAAAGCACUAUGGACAAGACUGAGGAUUCACUCCAUCCAUCCAAGGGAAUCCCAGCAGACUUCAUAACCCAUCAGUGCUCCUGCGUGCCUUCCCACCACAUACCACAGUACUGAAGAGAUGGCAGCAGAGGGGCAGUCUGACAAAAUGGUGUCUAACAUGGAAGUGUGUAUGAAGCAAAGAGGUGGAACUGAAUUUCUUUAUGUGGAUAAAAUAUUGCCCAUUGAUAUUCAGUGAUGUUUGCUGAAUGUUUAUGGAGAGCGAACAGUGGAUUUUGGCACAGUGAGGUGGUGGGUGGUGCUUUUCAGCAAUGGAGACAGCAAUGCGAAAGACAAGCCACAUUCCAGGCAGCUAUGCACAGCUGUUGCACCACAAAAUGAAGAGCAUCUCAAUCAGAUAGUCCAUGUGAAUCAAUGGACUAUGACCAGGGAGCUACAUACAGAGCUGAAUAUUGGCUUCAAUGUGUUGGAGACAGUGGUGACCACACCGGAAUACCCCAAAGUUUGCAUCACGUGGGUCCCAUGAAUGCUCACACAGGGAAAGAAAGAACACCAUAUGUAAGUUUGCCAGGACCUAUUGAACCAACAUGAAGUUGAAGGUGACAUUUUCCUGGAUCACAUCAUUACCAGUGAUGAGCCAUAACAUCACCACUAUGAGCCAGAGUCAAAACAACAAUCAGUGAAGUGGCAACGUGAUUUUCCCAUUGAUUAAAAAGUUCAAGAUAAAGCUCUCAGUUGGUAAAAUGAUAUGCACUGCCUAUUAGGGUAGGAAAGGAGCCAUCCUUCUGGGUUUCCUGGAACUUGGAAAACCAUUGACUGUCACCACUACAUCACAGUGGUGAGCUCAAGAGUCCGGCUAAAGAAGACAGCCCUUCUCUUGCAACAUGUUAACACCAGGGCCCCUAGCAGUUUGAAGACAGUGGAGAAUAUUGCAAAUCUUGUCUGGGCUGUCCUCCCACAUCCAACAUAUAGCUCAGAUUUGGCACCUUCUGACUGCCAUCUGUUCGGACUGAUGAAAGAUGGACUGCAUGGGCAAUGUUUUCUUAGCAACACUAUUAUAGCAGCUGUGAAACAGUGAAUCACCUCUGCCACUGCAGAUUUUUAUGAGUGCAGCACAUAGGCUCCUUUUCAUGGCAAAAACACAUAGGUAAGGGUAGUGACUAUAUAGAAAAACAGCAGUGUUUUUUGGGUUUUGUUUGCUUUUUUUAAUAGCUGAGAAGUUGCUCUAUCAGAUAGUGUUAUUGUGCUCUUUUUAUCUGUUGCAGCUUCCAUGGAAAUAAUAAAAAAGAGGCAUUACUUUUGGAGCAACCUACAUAGACACCUGUAUUCUCAGACUUCCGCACAAGGACGUGCAGAAUUAAGCAGCUGUUCUGUAGCUGUUAGGAUAGAUACUUACUCUAAAGCACUGCCCAAAGGGCUCUGUGGUGAAGAUGCCCAGCCAGGUAGCUCCUGAAGAGCUACCCAGCAAUGUGCAAAGUGACAGAGGGCCUCUUAACCUGCCUUUGCCCUGUCACCCCUUGGAAGCUUGCAGGAAACCUUGUGUUUACCUAGGUAGGGAAAUCCCUCACUCUGUCCCUCAUUUCUUGCAUAAUGCCAUGAAGUAGCUAAUUUCCUUGUAAAUCAAAUGACUUAACAUCGUUUUCCCCUCUCACUCAUUCUCAGCCACAUUUACCCCAGUGUGCAAGAAGGGAAGUGGUGUGAAUCUCAUAAUACUGCUAUAUCCCCAUGGUACCAAUAUGUUCCCCCAUCACCGUUGGCUCUAUCGGGAGCAGAGGACAAAGAAGCAGCAGCACACUUUAAAGAAAGGGACUAUGGUGAAGCACCAGGCCUACUCCCCUUUCCCUCCCAGGCAGAGGGAAUGGCUUUUCCCUCCCACAGCCACCCAGCAUCACACUGCUGUGUGGCUCAACAGAAGGUCUGUAGAGGUGUUUGCUACUGCUGCACAUGCAAGGCAUCUGCUUAGAGGAAGCAGAGCUCUGCGUGUUCCAUAACUCACCAAUAUCUGAGGAGGAAAAAAGAUUGCUUCUGUGUGAGAUAUGCAAAUCUCUGCCUACAGUGUUGAAUAGCUGUUACAUGGUGGCCAACCCCUGCCAUUUGUUGAAGCAAACAUUGUGUGCACACUGAUAUUAAGUCAGGCCAUAUCUGACCUUUGUUAAAUUACCACUUUGCUCUUUGAAAUUCUCUUUUCAAGCUAGCAGAAGAAUAAGAUAACUCAGUAAACAACUCAGUGUGAAAAAGUGUAGCACCUCAUGCAUACGUAUGUGAUACACAUAGGCCACGAUCCCUGGCAGCAGUACUCCCACGAUGCAAAACCAGACUUUCGGGUUUGCCAAGCAAAAUGAAGUCUCGCAUUCAACCCCAUGGUAUUAAAUAUCUGUAAUACGAGACAUUUUGAAAACUUCACCUUCGGAAUGUUAAGGCACACCAAUGGACAUGGGUGGACAGAACCCCAGUCUGGAUCUGAAGUAGUAAAAGAGAAAAAAAAAGGAGGAAACGAGGAGACAAAGACACCUCCACCUCAUCUGCUGCCUCUGCCAAUGCUAUCGCCUUUGUUAUAUGUAGGCCACUCCGAAAGUAACGCCUCCUAUUUAUUUCCAUGCAAACUACAACAGAUACAAAGAGCACAAUAGCACUGUU
ensembl:lncRNA